rnacentral:tRNA from 1 species
GAGCCUGUGGCUCAGUGGUUAGAGCGUUAGACUUUUGAUCAAAGUGUCGUGGGUUCGAUUCUUGGCUGGUGUA